AGUGAACGCUGGCGGUAGGCCUAACACAUGCCAGUCGAACGGCAGCACAGUAAGAGCUUGCUCUUACGGGUGGCGAGUGGCGGACGGGUGAGGAAUACAUCGGAAUCUACUUUUUCGUGGGGGAUCACGUAGGUAAACUUACGCUAAUACCGCAUACGACCUACGGUUGAAAGCAGUGGAUCUUCGGACCUUGCGCGAUUGAAUGAGCCGAUGUCGGAUUAGCUAGUUGGCGGGGUAAAGGCCCACCAAGGCGACGAUCCGUAGCUGGUCUGAGAGGAUGAUCAGCCACACUGGAACUGAGACACGGUCCAGACUACUAAGGGAGGCAGCAGUGGGGAAUAUUGGACAAUGGGCGCAAGCAUGAUCCAGCCAUACCGCGUGGGUGAAGAAGGCCUUCGGGUUGUAAAGACCUUUUGUUGGGAAAGAAAAGCAGCAGGUUAAUACCCAGCUGUUCUGACGGUACCCAAAGAAUAAGCACCGGCUAACUUCGUG
rnacentral:rRNA from 1 species